rnacentral:misc_RNA from 1 species
AGUACCUUCGUUGGGGCAGCGACCUAAGACUUGGACGAGCUAUUCCUCCACCAUAAGACUUCAAUGCAAAUGUUUGACCAAUAACCCGCAACGAAUGGAGUGAAACAAGAAAGUAGAGGAUCUUUACUGUAUGUUCUAUGAAGGAUUAUAGCUAUUUGAGUUUUCUAUCUAUUUUGUUCAAGGAAAAUCUGAGCCAAAUAAUCUCCAAUAAAUUUUCUUUUUUUCAAAAAAAAAUCAUUCACAGUGAACAGGAAAAGAUAUUAUAUAUGGAAGAAUUAGGGUUU